GUGUUAUUGUUUAUGAUUUCUAUUUGUUUUAGAGUCGGAAGUUAUUAGUUACAAUUGUUUUCUGUUUUGUAGGACUAGCGAAAUCCAGGGCUACCUAAACCACGAUUAUUUACUGUUGGACGACUUGAUGUUGCCACAAAUGGGUUAAUUAUUGUGACCAAUGAUGGAGAUUUUGCCUAAGAAAUUGCUCUUCCUUCAUCAAAAUUAUCGAGGGAGCAAGUUUUCAUGUGAUUUGUCCUCUAUACCAUCUGCAACUUUUAGGCGUAAAAUUGUCCUAGAGAACAGAUUUAUCCAUGAACGAAAUUGCUUUUUAAUCUUUUGUUAGAAGAGACUGGAUGUGACUUGCUAUGUAUGUUUAGUAGCUGAGCAUCCUCUGAAUUUUAGUAGUUGCAUGCGUGAUUGCAGAUAUAUUGCAACAAUUGAUGGUGCAGUAAGUAAGCGGUCUGCCAUCAGUGAAGGAACAGUCAUUGACAGUGUCCAUUGCACCCCAGACUCCGUGGAGUUGUUACCACAACAACCAGAUAUAUCAAGACCACGUCUUUGUAUUAUGGUGUGUAUUUUAUUUCUGUUCAGCCAGCUAGAAUUAUUUUCAUAAUUUAUAGUACUGCAUCCUUAAAGACAUGUUAUUAUCACCUUUCCUACUGUGGAUAUAAUUGUUUUCUCAUACAUGUGGAAAUCUUUCUUUCGAAAUUGACCUUCUUCAUUGUCUUCGGAGUUUAAAUAUAUAUUCUCUGUUGUUCUGAAUUCCAAAUGGUGAAACAGUUUCAUGCUUUUAUAAGAAGUGCAUAAAUGAUAAUUAUUUUUGGAUUAAGAUGAGAUGGAUUUGAUAAAAAAGUCUUGUUUUUUGAUACUUGCUGAGAAAAAAGAAAAAAAAUGGGGCAGAAAAGCUCUUUAUGCCAGUGUAAUGGAAGAGUUUCUUAUGAUUGUGAUGUAAUGUCAAUUAUUUUUGCUGAGUGACCAUUUUCUUUCAGUUCAUACAACACCACGAGUUUCUUUCUGGUUUUGAGGUUUUGCUUUGUUUAAUUAAUUUCAUCUCAGUUGAUUACGACUCAUAAGUGCAUAAAUGAAGGGAGGAACCAUGAGAUUCGAGAACUAGUAAAAAAUGCUGGGCUUGAGUUUGGUUUUAGUUUUUGAUGACACCCUUAUAACAUUGAGAGAAAAAAGAAAAAGAAAAAAACAGAUACUGAUACUGUAUUAUAAGCUCUUAUUUUUGCAUUAUUUUAAUAACUCAAGUUUGGGAAGCAUGUUGACCUAAACCAAACUGAGCUAAAGACUCUGGGUUGGAAAUGUUGAGAGCGGUUGCUGCACAAUGGCAAGACUUUAACAUUCUCUCCCUGGAAGUAAACUUCAAAAUCAGAUGGAACACAGCUUCAAGGUUUUAACUUUCAAUAGAAGCCUAUGCUUUUUGAAGACCAUUGCGUUGUUGGGUGGCAUGGUGAUUUAUGAAUUGGACUGGCCUUUAAAUUGCAGGGGUUGGUUUAUACUACUGCCAGAAGAAGCAGGCGAGCUAUGUUGGGGAAGCUCCAUUGCUAGUAUUAAAACAGAAAUCCAUCCGUUCAAAUCUGGAAAUUUCCUGGUUGCAAGGAGCACGUAUCUGCAUAUGAUGGAAAUGUAAAUGUGAGCGAAGAGCCUGCAUGUGUUUUUUCAUGAAAUCAAAAUAUUCGCUUGUCAUAUAGAUCAAAGGUAUGGAGAUUUCAUGACCCAUUUUGAUUCCUUAGUUGAACUAACAUUGUUACCACUGUAUAGAGUUUUUAGCAGAUGCCAUCUAUAAAUACUUACUUUUAAGGCCAAUCAGAUGGAUAAAAAGCAGCCUUACUUCUAAGACAGCUAAGGUAGGCGCAAAUGUAGGCUGUCGGUCAUCUAGUUGGGCAUCCCGUGCUAGGUUUCAUUCGUUAACACCGAAAGAGAAAGAGACAAGGCCCAUCCUGCAACUCCUGUUGCAAUUCUCCUGUGUCUAUUCUUUUCAAUAGUUCUACGUACAGCCUAGCCCGAUGAGCUCGUGUGCUUGCAUGUGCUCAACAAUUGUAGGGUCUCGUUUCACAUGCUAUUGAUCCGUGAAUAAAUUCUCCUGUUUCGAUC